AAACAACAAGAAAUCUCGUUCUGCCACUACAUUACGUCGUAAUCGAUACUCUUUUUCUUUCGACACAUGCCAACGGCAAUGUGGUAACGUGGCGGUAUCUUCUUUUGGUUUUUGCUAGCUGCUUUGCUAUGCAUAUUAUACUUUAUUACUGUUAUUAUAACGUUAAUCAUCCAAUUAAAAGAAGAAACCUGUUUUAUACGUAACCCCUUUUUUUUCCUUUCGUUUUUUAUUCUCUUUUUUGUAACUCUAGGCUUGAAAGUUGAAAGGUGAUGCUUGGGUUUAUGUUUCUCCACUGGAAAAGCACUUAUGUUUCUUCACUGGAAACGCACUUAAAUGGAAUAUUUAGGUGCUGGUGGAAAGUGGAAAAAAAAAAAUUAAACGGGAUUACAUAAUCCUAGAUUAUUAGUUACAUAAUUUGUGGAUCGAUUAGCAAUGUUAAUGAGUCAAAGAUGGUAGAUGUCAAUGUUUAGUUACAUAAUCCUAGUACAUUAGUUACAUUGCAUCUCUUAUUGAAAACCUCAAACUUAACUUCUGUUUAAUCGUCAAGAUUUUGUUUUAUUAUUAUUAUUAUUAUUUUGUUCUUAAUACUCUAAGCUUUUGUGUGCUAUACGCAAUGUAUGGUAAUUUAGGGAUUAGUUGUGAAAAACUCGGAAGUAUAACGAAAAAUUUGAGACUUUUGUAUCAAAGACUAGAAGGUUUUUGUACUAUCAGUACUGGAGAAUGAUAGGUAGCAGAUCGAUCUCUAUGGAAGAUUCAUUAGCCUACCAAUUAGUAAAGCCCACUCUUAACGGUGGAGGGUGAGAUACAAGACCUAAAGGGAUGUUUGAAGAAGAGCUCUAACUUAUUGUUGUGUGCCUUCAUGACGGAUAUAUUUAUUGAUGCAGAAAUCUGGUAUUGUCGUUAUCUCGACUAGAUAACUAUGUCAAACACUUAAAUUUGUUUUGAUGGGAGACGGUUCUGCUUCCACUUGCUUCCUUUGAGUAGAUACGAACGUCCACGAACACUUCACUCUGACCUCACCUGCGAUUACAAGGAAAAGUCAGGGGGGCGCCGGAUGUUUUUCCAACAAAACCUUCCGAUGUUCAAGUUAGUUAUCGGGUUUCUGAAAAAACUUGUGCCGCAAAUCUCCGUGGUUAAUUAUGACAAUUCAAAGCAAAGAUUUUAAUUCCCCCAAGAAAGAAAUAAUUCAAGAAGAAAAGUUAUAGAAUUAGAGAGACAGAAUUGUGCUUGUGCUUGGUUAUGAGGCGGUUGGGAGGUUGUUACAGUAACCGUCUGGAUGUGGGCAUCGUGCUUGGUUUUCCAGGACAACUAGCUGGUCGACCUUUAGCCUAGUCUUUGUAAAGACCUGAUCUUGGCUUCUCCUCGCAAGUUUCUUGACAGUCCUUGUGUAUUCGAGCAGCUGACUAUUGCGACUCUCCUUGUGAAUUGCUUUGAUAACGAGGAGGCCACAACCUGCUCAGGUGUAUAUCGGGCAGUAGCGUUUUAACCAUCUAAACAAUAUUAUUUGUAAAGGUGUCUCUUGAACGCAUUGAAUUUCUACUUGUUCCACAAUGUGAUAUGUUAGGUAGUUUAUCAAUGGAGUAUUGUAAUGAAUUUUCCAUAGAUCGAUCCUGAUAGCUGUACAUGUAUUAGUUUGAUGAAAUGGAAUAUAUGUAUUUCCUUGUUUUAAAAAAAAACUAAUAGACAAGGUAAGGGGACUGGACACAGGAAUCUAAUCGAUAUAUCUCGGAUCACAGUUCUUAUUUUUGGAAUAAUUUGUGUAGCUGUGGGCAUUCUGGACUUCCCACACAGUUUCUUUGAUUUAAGUUGCCCCUUUCCUAACAUGUGAACAAAGCACAAUACAAUUAAUACU
rnacentral:lncRNA from 1 species